rnacentral:rRNA from 1 species
UACGAAGGGGGCUAGCGUUGUUCGGAAUUACUGGGCGUAAAGGGCGCGUAGGCGGUGUGUCAAGUCAGGCGUGAAAGCCCCGGGCUCAACCUGGGAACCGCGCUUGAGACUGGCACGCUAGAGUUCGGGAGAGGAUGGGUGGAAUUCCACGUGUAGCAGUGAAAUGCGUAGAGAUGUGGAGGAACACCGAUGGCGAAGGCAGCCCCCUGGGUCAAGACUGACGCUCAUGCACGAAAGCGUGGGGAGCAAACAGG